AUACUUAUCUGACAGGGGACACCCCAUGAUCAGGAAGGUGUUUUCCCAGGGCAAGGCUUAUAUAUGGCCCUCUAUCUGGGCUGACCCCUGUGACUUUCCCAAAUGUAAGAAACUCGACUGCAUAAUUUGCGAUAGUGGGGAAACUGUGUUCGCACACUCUUCCCUC